rnacentral:rRNA from 1 species
UACGUAGGGUGCGAGCGUUUGUCCGGAAUUAUUGGGCGUAAAGAGCUUGUAGGCGGUUUGUCGCGUCUGCCCGUGAAAUUUCGAGGCUCAACCUCGAACUUGCGGUGGGUACGGGCAGACUAGAGUGGUGGUAGGGGGAGACUGGAAUUCCUGGUGUAGCGGUGAAAUGCGCAGAUAUCAGGAGGAACACCAGCGGCGAAGGCGGCGCUCUGGGCCGGUACUGACGCUGAGGAGCGAAAGCGUGGGGAGCGAACAGG